rnacentral:tRNA from 1 species
GCCUGGGUGGCUCAGUCGGUUGAGCGUCUGACUUUGGCUCGGAUCAUGAUCUCAUGGUUCAUGGGUUUGAGUCCCACAUCGGGCU